rnacentral:rRNA from 1 species
GAUGAACGCUGGCGGCGUGCCUAACACAUGCAAGUCGAACGACCCCUUCGGGGGUAGUGGCAGACGAGUGAGUAACGCGUGGGAAUCUACCCCAGACACAGGAAUACCUGGCCGAAAGGUUAGUUAAUACCUGAUAUUCUCGCAAGAGAAAAGCUCCGGCGGUUUGGGAUGAGCCUGCGUCCUAUCAGCUUGUUGGUGAGGUAAUGGCUCACCAAGGCUAUGACGGGUAGCUGGACCGAGAGGUUGACCAGCCACGAUGGGACUGAGACACGGCCCAUACACCUACGGGUGGCAGCAGUGAGGAAUAUUGGUCAAUGGGCGAGAGCCUGAACCAGCCAAGUCGCGUGAAGGAUGAAGGUUUUAUGAAUUGUAAACUUCUUUUGCAGGGGAAUAAAGUGUCCGACGUGUCGGAUUUUGUAUGUACUCUGCGAAUAAGGAUCGGCUAACUCCGUG